AGUGAACGCUGGCGGUAGGCCUAACACAUGCAAGUCGAACGGCAGCACAGUAAGAGCUUGCUCUUACGGGUGGCGAGUGGCGGACGGGUGAGGAAUACAUCGGAAUCUACUUUUUCGUGGGGGAUAACGUAGGGAAACUUACGCUAAUACCGCAUACGACCUACGGGUGAAAGCAGGGGAUCUUCGGACCUUGCGCGAUUGAAUUAGCCGAUGUCGGAUUAGCUAGUUGGCGGGGUAAAGGCCCACCAAGGCGACGAUCCGUAGCUGGUCUGAGAGGAUGAUCAGCCACACUGGAACUGAGACACGGUCCAGACUCCUACGAGAGGGAGCAGUGGGGAAUAUUGGACAAUGGGCGCAAGCCUGAUCCAGCCAUACCGCGUGGGUGAAGAAGGCCUUCGGGUUGUAAAGCCCUUUUGUUGGGAAAGAAAAGCAGCAGGUUAAUACCCCGCUGUCCUGACGGUACCCAAAGAAUAAGCACCGGCUAACUUCGUG
rnacentral:rRNA from 1 species